AUUGUUCGCAAUGGGCGCAAGCCUGACGACGCAACGCCGCGUGGAGGAUGAAGAUCUUCGGGUCGUAAACUCCUGUCGAGCGGGACGAACACUUUCCGGAUGAACAAUCCGGAGAGCUGACGGUACCGCUAAAGGAAGCCCCGGCUAACUCUGUGCCAGCAGCCGCGGUAAUACAGAGGGUGCGAGCGUUGUCCGGAAUCACUGGGCGUAAAGGGCGCGUAGGCGGUUCUGUAAGCGUGCGGUGAAAUCGCGGGGCUCAACCCCGCGCCGGCCGUGCGAACUGCGGGACUCGAGCACUGUAGAGGCAGAUGGAAUUCCGGGUGUAGCGGUGGAAUGCGUAGAGAUCCGGAAGAACACCGGUGGCGAAGGCGGUCUGCUGGGCAGUGGCUGACGCUGAGGCGCGACAGCGUGGGGAGCAAAC
rnacentral:rRNA from 1 species